UGUUCGGGUUGUCAUGCCAAUGGCACUGCCCGGUAGCUAAAUGCGGAAGAGAUAAGUGCUGAAAGCAUCUAAGCACGAAACUUGCCCCGAGAUGAGUUCUCCCUGACCCUUUAAGGUCCUGAAGGAACGUUGAAGACGACGACGUUGAUAGGCCGGGUGUGUAAGCGCAGCGAUGCGUUGAGCUAACCGGUACUAAUGAACCGUGAGGCUUAACCUU
rnacentral:rRNA from 1 species